CAGAGAGUAGUUUAGUUUAGAAUUCUAGCUUUGGGGGUUAGAGGUAAGAGUUAAAAUCCCUUCUUUCUGA
rnacentral:tRNA from 1 species